UUGAGGAGUUGGAGUACGCCCUCUGUA
rnacentral:sRNA from 1 species